GACGAACGCUGGCGGCGUGCUUAACACAUGCAAGUCGAACGGUAAGGCCCUUCGGGGUACACGAGUGGCGAACGGGUGAGUAACACGUGGGUGAUCUGCCCUGCACUUCGGGAUAAGCCUGGGAAACUGGGUCUAAUACCGGAUAGGACCACUGCCUGCAUGGGUGGUGGGGGAAAGCUUUUGCGGUGUGGGAUGGGCCCGCGGCCUAUCAGCUUGUUGGUGGGGUGAUGGCCUACCAAGGCGACGACGGGUAGCCGGCCUGAGAGGGCUGACCGGCCACACUGGGACUGAGAUACGGCCCAGACUCCUACGGGAGGCAGCAGUGGGGAAUAUUGCACAAUGGGCGCAAGCCUGAUGCAGCGACGCCGCGUGAGGGAUGACGGCCUUCGGGUUGUAAACCUCUUUCAGCACCGACGAAGCGCAAGUGACGGUAGGUGCAGAAGAAGGACCGGCCAACUACGUGCCAGCCGCCGCAGUAA
rnacentral:rRNA from 1 species